CAGUCUCUCCACUUUAAUGCAUCUCCCAGACUGAGGUCCAGCCCAGCCCAACCCAUCCUAGAAGGCAGAAGAGGAAAGUCAGCUCAGACAACUGAAAAAGGACUAAUCUGCUUAUAGAUGGAGAGCUAACAGAAGUGGAGAGACAAAGACCUGUCCACGAGAAGUCUCAUGCCCCUUCCUUCACUCUGACACCUCCUUAACAUGCUCCUGAAAUGUCAGCAUCAUGAGACAUGAGCUACACAAUGAUGCAGUAUGGGAAUUAAGAGGUAACCAUAUAUUUUAAUAUCAGACUUGAAUGAAUCUUCUUUGUUUUGAGUAACAUGUACACAUAAUUGAAUAAGCACAUAUAGAAAUCAUUAAAAAAAGUUAUUUGACAAAUUACACCUUAAAAGGAGACUAUACAUUAUUUUAAACACCAUGGUGGACAAAACUGACCAUGUCUUCAGCCACAGAGUAAAUCUGAAAGAAAUACAAAUAAUAAUAUUAAUAAUAACAUUUUGUUGGUUAUAUUAUUUGACCACAAUAAAAUAAUAUAUACAAUAACUAGAAUUUAAAGCAUAUAUAUAUAUAAAGCAAUAUUAUAGAAUGGCAAUUCUAGUCCUUGAAGGAUUGUCUAAAAUCACAGAUAUAAAAUUAAUAAGGCUUAAAUAAAGGGUAUGUACUUAAAGGGAAUGCAAUUUUUAUUCAAAUUACAAAGAGGUAUUAUUAAAACAACUUAUUAUGUACAAAGCACUGGGACAUUAAACUGAAUCAUGAAGUAAUGACUUCAACCUCACAAAACUUCUCGUCUUCUAGGGGAAGCUUAAAAUAAGACCAAAAUGGUGGAACCAUUACAAAUUACAAUAAUGUUGUAAGAAAUAAAAGAUCAAUAAGACCAGCCAGAGAAUGUGAUCAUAGAAAUGCUCUUAAAGUUGACCUUUUUAACUAGAGAUAAAACAUGGAAAAGGCAAAAACAAGGAAAAUUGUGAGUGACAUAAUUCCUCACAGAGGAAAGAAAAUUUGCAAAAAGGAUGUGUUCCAUUUAACAAAAGAAACCCAAUAUGAGAGUUUUGUAAGCAAUGUAAGCAAGAUGAAGAAUUAAAUGGUAUUAAGUUGGAGAGAGGAUGAGGUAAAUUUGCUUUCUUCAAAGUAAAAGGUUUGGGUGUAAAUUCUAACCUAGUGAGGAGGGAUUAUAUUAUCCAACGUAAUGUUUUUGUACAUUUAUUCAACACACUGCAACAUAUUCAUCAUCCUUACUAAAUAAUUGUUACACAUGUUGUAAAUAAAAUCCAAGGAGUCCUGUAUAUUCAUAAGGUUAAUUAAUCCUCACACCAACCAUGCAUAUUAAAUACCAACUUUAUCCUCCUCUUGCAUAAGAUGAAACAGAGUUACAGAGAGUUAUUUGCCCACAAUAACAUGCUUUGAAUGGGAGAGCCAAAGUUUGGACAAAGGCAAUCUGGGUCCAAAACCCUGACUCUUACUCUUAUGUGAUGAUGCCUCUUGGUAAUUCCGACAAGCUCAAGCUCUAUCUAAGGAGGAGAUAGACAAAGGGAGGAAAAUCUGUGGCUGGAUUUGGAGGAUGUUCCAGGAUAAUGAUUGAGAAUAAUGCAUGGCCUUUUGUAUGGUCUUUAUUUGGGAUUCCACAGGUACCAGGAAAGUCUCACUGGGUCCCAUUCCCCUCAUCGUUGGAACUGGAGCACAUUCAAACUGGGCUUACUGCCUAGGAAGGAAGUUAAUGUCUCUUCCAACCACAAACAGCAAGGGGUUGUUUUGAAAGUCCAUGAAAGCUGAACUUGAUUAGAAUAAAGCAUUGAUUUGAUGCAGCAGCCUUAUGAUGCAGAACAGGCUGGGUUACUAUGUGUACAAUUCCCCAGCUCAGAUGUGGGAAAUUAUGUUUCCACAUCGACCCU
rnacentral:lncRNA from 10 species